rnacentral:rRNA from 1 species
CCUACGGGUGGCAGCAGUGAGGACUAUUGGACAAUGGGCGCGAGCCUGAACCAGCCAAGUCGCGUGAAGGAUGCAUGCCCUCCGGGUUGUAAAUUUCUUUUAUAAAGGAAUAAAGUGAGGCACGUGUGCCUUUUUGUAUGUACUUUAUGAAUAAGGAUCGGCUAACUCCGUGCCAGUCGCAGCGGUAAUACGGAGGAUCCGAGCGUUAUCCGGAUUUAUUGGGUUUAAAGGGAGCGUAGAUGGGUUGUUAAGUCAGUUGUGCAAUUUUGCGGCUCAACCGUAAAAUUGCAAUUGAUACUGGCAGCCUUGAGUACAGUUGAGGGAGGCGGAAUGCGUGGUGUAGCGGUGAAAUGCAUAGAGAUCACGCAGAACCCCGAUUGCGAAGGCAGCUUACUAAGCCAUAACUGACACUGAAGCACGAAAGCGUGGGGAUCAAACAGGAUUAGAUACCCUGGUAGUC